CGGCCCUUACUCCUACGGGAGGCAGCAGUGGGGAAUAUUGGACAAUGGACCGGGAGUCUGAUCCAGCAAUUCUGUGUGCACGAUGAAGUUUUUCGGAAUGUAAAGUGCUUUCAGUUGGGAAGAAAGAAAUGACGGUACCAACAGAAGAAGUGACGGCUAAAUACGUGCCAGCAGCCGCGGUAAUACGUAUGUCACGAGCGUUAUCCGGAUUUAUUGGGCGUAAAGCGCGUCUAGGUGGUUAUAUAAGUCUGAUGUGAAAAUGCAGGGCUCAACUCUGUAUUGCGUUGGAAACUGUAUAACUAGAGUACUGGAGAGGUAAGCGGAACUACAAGUGUAGAGGUGAAAUUCGUAGAUAUUUGUAGGAAUGCCGAUGGGGAAGCCAGCUUACUGGACAGAUACUGACGCUGAAGCGCGAAAGCGUGGGUAGCAAACAGGAUUAGAUACCCUGGUAGUCCACGCUGUAAACGAUGAUUACUAGGUGUUGGGGGUCGAACCUCAGCGCCCAAGCAAACGCGAUAAGUAAUCCGCCUGGGGAGUACGUACGCAAGUAUGAAACUCAAAGGAAUUGACGGC
rnacentral:rRNA from 1 species